UGCCAGCCGCCGCGGUAAUACGGAGGGGGUUAGCGUUGUUCGGAAUUACUGGGCGUAAAGCGCACGUAGGCGGAUUGGAAAGUUGGGGGUGAAAUCCCGGGGCUCAACCCCGGAACUGCCUUUCAUACUGGCAAUCUAGAGAUCGAGAGAGGUGAGUGGAAUUCCGAGUGUAGAGGUGAAAUUCGUAGAUAUUCGGAGGAACACCAGUGGCGAAGGCGGCUCACUGGCUCGAUACUGACGCUGAGGUGCGAAAGCGUGGGGAGCAAACAGGAUUAGAUA
rnacentral:rRNA from 1 species